UACGAAGGGGCUAGCGUUGCUCGGAAUCACUGGGCGUAAAGGUGCGUAGGCGGGUCUUUAAGUCAGGGUGAAAUCCUGGAGCUCAACUCCCAGAACUGCCUUUGAUACUGAAGAUCUUGAGUUCGGGAGAGGUGAGUGGAACUGCGAGUGUAGAGGUGAAAUUCGUAGAUAUUCGCAAAGAACACCAGUGGCGAAGGCGGACUCACUGGCCCGAGUACUGAA
rnacentral:rRNA from 1 species